GUCAUGCAUUCUUCAUCCAUUCUUGCGACAUGGCCCAGGAAUCGCAGCUUUCCCCUCUUUAUUAUUGGGAAAGCAGCUUUCCAACAACCUGCUUUUUCGUAAACUGCAUUAUUUGUGACAUGGUGGACCCAUCGGAUACGAGGGAUGUUCCUAUGAAAUGCUGAGGCGAUGACACAGCUUCAUUGCUUUUCUAAUUGAGCUGCAAUUCUCAAACUGUGGAACAUGUACCACUAGUGGUAUGCGGGCUCCAUCUAGUGGUACGCAAAAUAAUCACUUGUUUAAAGUACACUGUGUCACGGUUGGAUCGCAUGUUUAUUCGUGGGACGUUCUCUCAGGAUGCAGACUGAAAGUUCGGGGGCGAUAUGCAGCAUGAGGACAGACGGACGAGCGAGAGGGCCGAGAGCUGAAAAGUUGGAGAGAGACUGGAACAACAUUUGAUGUGUAAAGAAAAUAAAACUGUGUCAAACCUGCA